CGCUACGGCCGUGUGGCGCGUUGGUACACCCGAUCCCUUGAUCUGGGAAGUUAAGCAACGUGCUGUCUGGACAGUUCUUGGAUGCGAGACCAACCAAGGACGACUGGAUUGCUGUAGCCU
rnacentral:rRNA from 1 species